rnacentral:rRNA from 1 species
GACGAACGCUGGCGGCGUGCUUAACACAUGCAAGUCGAGCGAUGAAGCUCCUUCGGGAGUGGAUUAGCGGCGGAUGGGUGAGUAACACGUGGGUAACCUGCCUCAUAGAGGGGAAUAGCCUUCCGAAAGGAAGAUUAAUACCGCAUAAGAUUGUAGUUCCGCAUGGAACAGCAAUUAAAGGAGUAAUCCGCUAUGAGAUGGACCCGCGUCGCAUUAGCUAGUGGGUGAGGUAACGGCUCACCAAGGCGACGAUGCGUAGCCGACCUGAGAGGGAGAUCGGCCACAGUGGGACUGAGAAACGGCGCAGACUCCUACGGGAGGCAGCAGUGGGGAAUAUUGCACAAUGGGGGAAACCCUGAUGCAGCAACGCCGCGUGAGUGAUGACGGUCUUCGGAUUGUAAAACUCUGUCUUUGGGGACGAUAAUGACGGUACCCAAGGAGGAAGCCACGGCUAACUACGUGCCAGCCGCCGCCGUAACAC